rnacentral:SRP_RNA from 1 species
GGUCUGCGGGAAGAAACGCGGCAGCGAAAAGCCCUCGCGCAGCAUGCGGUUCUCGUCGAUGGCGACGAAG